GACGUAGGGCGCGAGCGUUGUCCGGAUUUAUUGGGCGUAAAGAGCUCGUAGGCGGCUUGUCGCGUCGUCCGUGAAAACCCACAGCUCAACUGUGGGCUUGCGGUCGAUACGGGCAGGCUAGAGUUCGGUAGGGGAGACUGGAAUUCCUGGUGUAGCGGUGAAAUGCGUAGAUAUCGAGAGGAACACCAGUGGCGAAGGCGAGUCCCUGGACAACUCCUGACACUGAGGCACGAAAGCUAGGGGAGCAAACAGG
rnacentral:rRNA from 1 species